CACUAUUAGUUUUUCAAGCUAGUUCGAAUUGGGUGCGCGCACGCAGCCAACGCGCGAUAUUUUUUGUGCUUACAAGUCUUUAAAUGGAAUAAUGAAUAUAUUAAUUUGUUAUCUUUAAAAUUUCGAGUAAGCAGGAUAAAGUAUAGCAAGAAAUAGACGAAAAACUUAUUACAACCAAUAAACAAUAGAACAAAUUUUUAGACUUAUGAUAACUGCCAAUAAAAGCAACAGAGAAUUUCGUCUUACUUCUCAUAUUAGCAGUCAUUAAUUCUUAGCAUAAAAAGAGAAAUUAACGAAUUCGAUUGAACAUCAAGGUGAGGGUUUAGGUGUCCCAGAUGCCGGCUGGCUAGUGAUGAUGACGCUCGAAACUAUUCGUCAGUCAUAAGAAUAAUAAUAAUUACAUUUUUGUUCAUUAAUUAUGGAGUAUCUAAGGAUAAUACAAUUUGUAUGUGAAUUGCCCCGGCAAUGGGCUAGGUUCUUUUACUAAAAUUUAAAAAAGUAAAUACAGUUUGCAGUA